UCUGGAUCAAGGUACAAAGCAUGACCGCUUCAUAUUAGCAUCGUUGCGGUUCUUCGUAAGUCCCAAUUUGGGACGGAACCUUUCUUCACCAAACACAGAGGAGAAGUUCAUCGGCGACCCAUUAGGACCAUGUUUCACUAUGAACCACACCACACGCAGCCGGAUGAAAGAUAGGAAGAAGUUGGAACUAGGAUGGAUGAACGCAACAAAGGUCAAGAUAAAGAGGUGGCAGAAUAAUUUGGUGCCUCUCACCGCCGGCGAGGUGGCACGACGGUCCGGUUGCCAUAGAGGAACUGUGCGAAUCAUUUGGAAUUCGAUUUUUGAAUGGAAAGUUGGGACCGACCUGCCUCCAAAAGGAUAGCUUCCAUUAAACCAUAUGGUAUAUGAUGGAACUAUUCACAUGUACAUGAUUGGGUCAGUUCGAGGAACUGGCCUACCUCUCAAAUAUUGAAACCAUUCCGGACGGUUUGGAUAGUGGUAAUCCUGGUUUCCAGCCCUAUAUAUUUCUUGUUCGAUUAUUGGGGGGCACUUAAGAAUGCAAAUCUAAUAGAUAGAUUCAACUGGUGUCGAUAUGUCUAUGGCCACGUUCUGGAUGCGACUCAGAAAAUUCGUGAAUCUAUCAGUCGGAACAUCUUGUGAGAAGUAUUACUGGCUAUCAUCUGUUUCUGCAGAUUAUGUUCUUGGACAAUAAAGACAUUCAGUUGCUGAACAAACCACACAACAACCUACCAUGCAUUAGGGAUUUUGAUGCGGCAACAGUUCAGAAGAUGAUUCUCAUGAUUUCAGACCAAAAUGCUGCGGCCAUCUGGCACAUCUGUGUACAUGACGCACACAUUGCAAUCAGUUGACAUUCCUCCUGUCCCGAGAGAGACCAUUGUUGUAGCUCCUUCAAUUGACAUUGGUGUACCAACUAUCAAAGCCUAGACAUUUGCAUUCCAGCAUGUUGCUGACUUUAGUUCAUACCUAAGGAUUAAAUAUCCUAGACUAGUCAGCAUUUCUCACUAUAUUUCUUCGUACCAAUAAUUGUAUGCUCAGUACUUAUCAACAAGUAAUACUGAUAUUUGUGGCUUGCUUUUAGCACUCCUACUAUGCAAUGGAUCAGCUAAAAUUGCACAAUGCAAGGCUUCUAAAGGAGAUUGCUCUGAUGUGUUCAACAAUGAUGAAGCAUAAUGCAUUUUUUGCUGACUAGCUUGCUGGUCAAAUUGGACCAACGGUGUUGCAAGUGAUGCAUAAGUAGGAUGGAGAUAGCGAUCAUGUUGCACAUCCCAACCCGA